CCUUCCCUUGCCUGGGUCAUCCAAGGUCGAACCACCUGUCAAUGAUACAGAAUUAGCUAUAGAAUUCAUAGCAAAGAUAAAGUUGAGAUGGAGACAGUCCCUGGCAUUAAGGUUAUUGACAGAAUAUUGGGAAAUAUACCCACUCAAUUUCUGUACACAGCUGACUAAGUUUGCAAGGAAAGCAUCUCAGCAUAAACCAAAGAGAUUAAGCUAUACCUGCAUACAUCUCUGAUCCAGCUUUCCUGUAGGAAUUAAUAUCUUUCUACAGGUUCUGCCUUACCUAUGAGGAGAUCUGUUUCCUAUUUCUUGUCGCAGCUUUUGAUUCUCUCUGUUUAGAUUGAUGUUUUCGUCUUUCAGUGAGUUGUUCUCCUGCAAUAUUGUUUGGACCAGGACUCCACUGGUGUCGGGAUGCCUCGGAUCCUCUUUGGGCCCAAGUUGUUUUGUCCCCAGGUUUUUCUGGACCUGUUGCUGUAAAACUUCAUUUUCUGUUCGUAAGAGCUGUACCUCAUCUGUAAAUAUGCACCAAGGAAGUGAUUGAUGGAGAUCUAAGUCUACAAUGUAUCAUGCCAUCCGUUCAGCAUUGAAAUCAAAGACAUCAGAGAGAUUUAUGCGACUGAAAAAUGUUCUUAUCAACCCAUUUCAUAUAUAAAUGUCACUCUUCCUCUCAUGUUUGUAAUUAUUUCUAAAAGUUUUCACAAUGCCAAUUUAUUCUUUUGACCUAUUAACUUUUAACAUGUCUAAGUUUUCACCAUAUCUUAUCCUACAUAAAGUAAUCUUUACUUUUUUAUCCUCCAGAA